GCAUGGACGAAUUCUGCUUUACUUCAACAUAGUAAAAGCAGUCAGACACCAUGCUACAGUAAGGUUCAUACCAACGUUUUGUUUGGAGUAAUGCUCUUAUGUGCAAUUGUUCUUAUGUUGGUGCGAGCACAA